UACGUAGGGACCAAGCGUUGUUCGGAUUUACUGGGCGUAAAGGCGCGUAGGCGGCGCGGUAAGUCACUUGUGAAAUCUCUGAGCUUAACUCAGAACGGCCAAGUGAUACUGCAGUGCUAGAGUGUGGAAGGGGCAAUCGGAAUUCUUGGUGUAGCGGUGAAAUGCGUAGAUAUCAAGAGGAACACCUGAGGUGAAGACGGGUUGCUGGGCCAACACUGACGCUGGAGGCGCGAAAGCCAGGGGAGCAAACGGG
rnacentral:rRNA from 1 species